ACAGGGCUGCAAGGAAAUCUGGCGCGGUUCAAUACCUCGUCUAGUCUGGGUUCCAGUACCUUUUUUUUUUUCAAACUGACAAACUCAUUUCUCUACCGGGACAGGAUGCUGUGCUGGCUGGGAGUUCCAUUUCUGCAGCAAGAAUCCUAUCUGGAAACACAGAAGUUGUCCUCUAAGCCACAGCAGCUCGAACUUUUUUGAUUGUUGUUGCUGCUUUCUCCCAUCACCCCCACCCCCUUUUGACAAAGAUCCAACUGUAAAAAGUCUUACGUAACAGUUCAGGACUACUUCGGUUCUUUUACUGGUAUAUCAAGAGGCCUCAAGAGGACUAUGAAAACAUUUACAUCUCCAAGCCAAAGCAUGUGGGUUUCACAAUAUUUCAUAGUAUCUCUGGAAAAGGAAUGAAAGGAGAUUCACAUCUCCAACAAAUACUGGACCAAAAAAAACGAAGAACUGUAACUUCAGCCUGAAGAAUCCACAGAAAGUCUCCUUGGGACCCCAAAACACUUGACAGAUGAACAUGAAGCCAGAGCAAACUAGUAUUAUUAAGUUGUCUCACUCUGAAGCUGUGCUUUAAAUUGCCUGUUCCUCCCACAUCAC